rnacentral:lncRNA from 1 species
AGGGAAAAGAGACAAUAUUACUUGAUUAUUUCUUAUAAUUCCGGAUUACAUUAUAUAGAGCCCAUAUGCUCCAAUUACUCAUAAUCAUACUAACUUAAUAUAAAUAAACUCAUUCCCAAAUAUAUUCCUAAAUAACAAAAUAAUCGUCUAUUCCUAAUAUAUUCCUAAUAUAAUAAUAUUUAUUUUCCUAACUGAAAAUCCUAAUCUAGGAAUGUAUCAUAGUGAUAUUCAUAUUUAUCCAUUUGAUUUGUUACCGUUAGAGUACUGUUUAUUUUUUAAUAGUAGAUAAGUGAAAUGAUAUUUUUAUCCUUACAAAUAUAUCCCUCCAAAAGCUCCAAUUAUUAGAAUUAUGUAGAAAUAUUCUUCCAAAAGUAUUUUAUCUAAUAAUAUAAAAGGGAUAAAAAAAAAUCAAUUUAACUUAUUCACUAAUCAGGAUUAAUUAUUUUACUUAUGAUUAACAAUAUUUUUCUAACGGAUUAUAAUGGUAGGGUUAUAUUUGAAAAUAUUAAAACUUUUAUAGAAAUAAAAAAUAAAAAAUUAAAUUUUAUAUAAAUAUAUUUACUAUUCAAUAUGUUUACAGAAAUUUGUAUAUAAUUAACCCGAAA